rnacentral:misc_RNA from 1 species
CCCGAUCUCUGCACCAAGUUUAGGAUCAAGCACCAAUUUCUGGACUUCCUUAAUGGCUGAACUAGCAGCAUACAGUGAUAUCUUUCCUACCUCCAAAACUUGAAGUUUAGCUUCCUGGUCGUUAGGAAGACAGCGUAUUUCCUCAGCCAAUUUAGCAGCCUCUCCCACACUUUCAGGUGAUAAGAAAUCAAGACCCAACUGAACAGUGGACUGAAGAUUCCUCACUUGGAAAGGGCAUCCAGCAGGGACAAAGACAGCUUGCCCCAAAUGCUGCUCAAACGACCAUGGCUCAAUUCCAAAUGUUUCCUUCAAUUUUCUCAUAUGAUUCCCAUUCAGGAAAACUGUUCCAUCACAAAGAGAAUGUUUCACAAAUUGACUUCCUGAAGCGUCGAACUUCCCAAAGUCNAAGUGCUUUUUCAAAUAAUCAAUUAAUUUUGGAACAUCCUGCCGACGAAAGACAUCCCAGUGAACACCUGGACGAGUCUCUGCAGAGAUAUCUCCAUUAUCUUUCCUUAAUUUUUGAUCCUUCAUUCUCUCAACAUACUCCAUUCUGUUAGUUUCAACCCCUCGAUUGUCAAUUUUCUCAACCUCUCCAACCAUAGUGGUAGUUUCAACCCCUUGAUCCUCCUCCAUUCUCUCAUCGUUAUCUGCAGCUGUAUUUGUUUCAUCCUGUAAAUCCUGCCUGCCAACUGAUAAAUCAGCUAAUGUUCCUUCACCCAAGCUUGUUUCUUGGUCAAGUGACUCAUUUCCCUCAAAAUUUUUAAGCUUCACUUCAUGUGUAUGCACCAAUAGAUAUACCAUGUCACGCAUCUUGAUAUGCAGAUUGGUCAGUGAAUCACCUUUACCAAGUUCCUCAUAGGUCCCGUAAGAUAUAUAAAUCUUGGGUCCAGCAUCGUUCUGCAAGGAAUAAUGAGGCAGCUUUGCAGCAACAUUUAGAAGACCCAACCUUGAAUGGAUAUACUCAAGUAGAGGCAUUUUACUAAUAAAUUCAGGUCUCUGGUAUAAUAAGAACUCUUCAGAAGCACUGGGGGAAGGCCAGUCCUUCAACUUCAACAUCUGUAGCGAACCAUCAUCACGAAUUC